UGAUUCACAUACAAUUUUAAGAAUGCCACCAUACAAUAGACCACCAAAUUUCUAACAUUUAUUUACAACUGUAAACUUGUUAUAGAAAAAUAUUUAUUGAAUAAAAGUAUAAUGCUUUAUUAUUUGCAAUUUUUACAAUUGACAAUGCAUGGAGUUACAUACGUAGUUCAUUACCGGGUGAAGUUUUCAGGAUCUCUUUAUGAUACAAAUAUUGCACUGAUGUUAUUGGGAGAAGUGCUAAGCUCCGCUUUAUAAGAUAUGGAGAUCGAACUGUCAAAAGUUUCAACAGUUUAGUUAGAGCUUAAGUUGUAUCUCAGAAUAAAAAAAUAUCUGUACUGCUACAACAAUUACAUAUUUGAAACCAUGGAUUGAAUCUAAAAUCAUUCAAUUUAAAACAACGAAAAGUAAUUGCAAAAUUUUCAAACAAGAUGUCCUACAGAUAACAACUACUACGAUGUGUUAACGAACUUGACUACCUUUGAGGGUGUGUUGACGAGCUUGACUACCCUUGAAGGUGUAACGAGCUUGAAAAAUCCUUGAGGGUGUGUUGACGAGCUUGACUACCAUUGAGGGUGUGUUGACGAGCUUGACUACCCUUGAAGGUGUAACGAGCUUGAAUAAUCCUUGAGGGUGUGUUGACGAGCUUGACUAUCAUUGAGGGUGUGUUGACGAGCUUGAAUACCCUUGAAGGUGUAACGAGCUUGAAUAAUCCUUGAGGGUGUAUUAACGAGCUUGAAUAAUCCUUGAGGGUGUAUUAACGAACUUGACUAUACCCUUGAUGGUGUGUUGACGAGCUUGGCUGCCCUUGAGGGUGUGUUAACGAGUUUGACUACCCUAAAGUGUAUCUUGACGAGAUUGACUACCCUUGAAGGUGUGUUAGCGAGCUUGGCUACCCAUAGGCGGAUCCAGGGGGGACCUGGGGGGAAAAUUUGGUUGAUUAUAUAGGGAAUCAUUGAAGCAUGACUGGAGCGGCCCCCCCCCUUUAGGUCAGUCAGCGGGUCCCCCUUAGGAAAAGUUCUGGAUCCGCCACUGCUACCCAUUAGGGUCUCGCAUAGUAUUAGAGUACAAAUGAAUACUUGAAGUUGUCCCAGUAAUGGACUGCUGGUCAUACAUGGAGGUAAAUGGUUAUACAGUAUAAAAGUAGAAUUAUUGGUAUGUUUGUGUAAAAUAUAAAUAUGCAUAUUUGAAUGUGUUUGCUUCAAGCUUGAAUAUUAUGAUCCUGGUCAUGCUUUGUAUGUUUGGUUCUCUAAACCUUUUGACAGCCAUAUUAUAGAACUGAUAAACAUUAUUAUUGAAAUAUAUGAAAAUAUUUUGAAAAAAGUCAUGCUAGCUGUUAACAUAUAGGUGGAUCCUUACUUUAUAGAAAAGAUAUACAAUAUUAAAAGCAAUAAAGUAGUGGAAACAAAACUGUGUUGACCUGAGAAUUUGUAAUAAUAAUAAUAAUGAAAAUUUAUAGAGCACCCUAUAUAAAUCAAAGAGCUGAAAGCUCUGAGGAAAAAUGACGCCACUGUCUCUAAUAUUGGGAUAGUUUUUAUGCAAGUCUUGAUUUUCACAUACCGUAAUUAGUUUAACAAUGCAACAUGUCUCGUAAGCAUAUAAUUGAUAUUCGUAUAUAUGUGUGUGUGUGAAGUGAAGGUGACAACUGGCUGUUUUUUAAGACAAAUGAAUAGGUCAAGACUACCUGAAUUGUACAAAUAAAUACCGUAGAAAGGCUUGUAUAUUUCUCACUGGUACAUAGUCUGAAUCCGGGUCCGUUCGCGCCCACUCAUGUUCGCCCCCUUUCACUUUCACACCCUAAAUGUUCGCACCCAAUCUUAAUUGGUUUUGUGUUUAAUAACUCUGUAAGCAAGUGUUUUCUUAUAAGUAUAAUUGUUGUCAUUGUCUCAAAAUAAAGUGAGACAGCAUUUUUAUUUGUGUUGAAUAAAUCUUAAUCAUGUUUUGGAUAGCGUAUUGUUAAAAAUAAUAAUAAUCCUUUCUAAUUAAAGUGGUAUUUUGUCAACG
rnacentral:lncRNA from 1 species